rnacentral:ribozyme from 13 species
AGGAAAAAAAAAAAAAAAAAAAAAAAAAAAAAAAAAAAAAA